rnacentral:lncRNA from 1 species
CCAUUGCACUAUAUACGCUGUAUUUGAAUUCAGAGUGAAAAAGCCGUUGCAAGAAGUAUCGUCCUCCUGAAUACUCUCGUUUUCUCCUGCAAAUUUACAGUAUGGGCAUCUUUUUUUAACAUCUUUCGUCAAAGAAGUGGAUUCAAAGCACAUUGUGGCCUCAGUAUAUUGAUGUGAAACCAUGCAGAAAAUGCUACUUUCUCUCAACCUUGUGGAUGUUCCCUACUUCCCUAAGGAUCAGCAGCCUCUUGAAACAGAAUUCCUUGCGUCUAUGUUCCUUGGAUCUGAAAACAGUGCAUAAUGCAGGAGAUUCCACCCAAAAGCUAACCCACAAGUCCAAGCUGAAGUGGAAUAUUUCGCAAAAUUUGAUCUACACUCACCCGAUAGCUUUACUGCUAGAGAAAGGUGGUCAUAUAGAUGUCAUUUAGAGGACA